AUUGAACGCUGGCGGCAGGCCUAACACAUGCAAGUCAAGCGGAUGAGAGGAGCUUGCUCCUCGAUUCAGCGGCGGACGGGUGAGUAAUGCCUAGGAAUCUGCCUAGUAGUGGGGGACAACGUUUCGAAAGGAACGCUAAUACCGCAUACGUCCUACGGGAGAAAGUGGGGGAUCUUCGGACCUCACGCUAUUAGAUGAGCCUAGGUCGGAUUAGCUAGUUGGUAGGGUAACGGCCUACCAAGGCGACGAUCCGUAACUGGUCUGAGAGGAUGAUCAGUCACACUGGAACUGAGACACGGUCCAGACUCCUACGGGAGGCAGCAGUGGGGAAUAUUGGACAAUGGGCGAAAGCCUGAUCCAGCCAUGCCGCGUGUGUGAAGAAGGCCCUCGGGUCGUAAAGCACUUUAAGUUGGGAGGAAGGGCUUACAGCGAAUACCUGAGAGUUUUGACGUUACCGACAGAAUAAGCACCGGCUAACUUCGUGCCAGCCGCCGCAGUAA
rnacentral:rRNA from 1 species